ACGGCCAGGAGCAGCCGGAGUCCUACCACCUGCGGAUCCUCGCUUCAGUGCUGGGCAGUGAGGAGGCAGCCAAGGAUGCGGUGGUGUAUCAUUACAAGCAAGCAGCGAGUGGGUUCUCUGCUAAGCUUACUCCACAACAGGCCUCUGAUCUCUCAAAGCAUCCCAAUGUUCUACUGGUUUCUCCAAGUGGGAGGAUCCAUCUGCACUCCGGACUUGGUAGUCUUCACAGGAUGGCUGUUCUCCCAUAAAUAUUCUAAAAUAAGCUGAGGGAAAAAGAAAAUCAACAUGAACUAUGUUACCGUUUUUUUAUACAUAAUGUGCGUAUCAUAUGGAUAAUAUUCUAGUAUUACUAUGUGAUCUUUUAUAUACAUGUUAAAUACUCUAAUAUUUGUAUCCUUUACAUGUAAUAUUGGUGUUUUGAAGU